UACGGAGGGUGCGAGCGUUGUCCGGAAUCACUGGGCGUAAAGGGCGCGUAGGCGGCGCGGAUAGUCGGCGGUGAAAGCCCGGAGCUCAACUCCGGGUCGGCCGUCGAUACUUCCGGGCUUGAGCACUGUAGAGGCAGAUGGAAUUCCGGGUGUAGCGGUGGAAUGCGUAGAGAUCCGGAAGAACACCGGUGGCGAAGGCGGGACUCUGGGCCGAUACUGACGCUGAGGAGCGAAAGCGUGGGGAGCGAACAGG
rnacentral:rRNA from 1 species